rnacentral:rRNA from 1 species
AACGAACGCUGGCGGCAGGCCUAACACAUGCAAGUCGAGGGGAAACGAUAUUGGAAGCUUGCUUCCGAUAGGCGUCGACCGGCGCACGGGUGAGUAACGCGUAUCCAACCUGCCCACCACUUGGGGAUAACCUUGCGAAAGUAAGACUAAUACCCAAUGAUAUCUCUAGAAGACAUCUGAAGGAGAUUAAAGAUUUAUCGGUGAUGGAUGGGGAUGCGUCUGAUUAGCUUGUUGGCGGGGUAACGGCCCACCAAGGCGACGAUCAGUAGGGGUUCUGAGAGGAAGGUCCCCCACAUUGGAACUGAGACACGGUCCAAACUCCCACGGGAGGCAGCAGUGAGGAAUAUUGGUCAAUGGACGAGAGUCUGAACCAGCCAAGUAGCGUGCAGGAUGACGGCCCUAUGGGUUGUAAACUGCUUUUAUAAGGGAAUAAAGUGAGCCUCGUGAGGCUUUUUGCAUGUACCUUAUGAAUAAGGACCGGCUAAUUCCGUGCCAGCCGCCGCCGUAA